GAUGAACGCUGGCGGCGUGCCUAACACAUGCAAGUCGAACGAAGCACCUUACCUGAUUCUUCGGAUGAAAGUUUGGUGACUGAGUGGCGGACGGGUGAGUAACGCGUGGGUAACCUGCCCUGUACAGGGGGAUAACAGCUGGAAACGGCUGCUAAUACCGCAUACGCGCACGAGGAGACAUCUCCUUGUGUGAAAAACUCCGGUGGUACAGGAUGGGCCCGCGUCUGAUUAGCUGGUUGGCAGGGUAACGGCCUACCAAGGCAACGAUCAGUAGCCGGUCUGAGAGGAUGAACGGCCACAUUGGAACUGAGACACGGUCCAAACUCCUACGGGAGGCAGCAGUGGGGAAUAUUGCACAAUGGGGGAAACCCUGAUGCAGCAACGCCGCGUGAGUGAAGAAGUAUUUCGGUAUGUAAAGCUCUAUCAGCAGGGAAGAUAAUGACGGUACCUGACUAAGAAGCGCCGGCUAAAUACGUG
rnacentral:rRNA from 1 species